rnacentral:tRNA from 1 species
GCGGAGUUGCCGGAGUGGCCAAACGGGUCAGGCUUAGGACCUGAUGGCUUAGUGCCUACGCAGGUUCGAAUCCUGCACUCCGCA